GGUGAGUAUUUUUUAAUAUUAUAAAGAUUAUCCAGGUUCUUCCCUUUCCAGGAAUAAGAGGAAAAAGUGGAUAAUUAACGAUUAUGACACAGGACAGCCAGGUUUGUGAUGGUGGGUAUUUUUCAAUAUUGUAUAGAUUAGCCAGGUUCUUCCCUUUGCAGGAAUAAGAGGAAAAGUGGAUAAUUAACGAUUAUGACACAGGACAGCCAGGUUUGUGAUGGUGGGUAUUUUUCAAUAUUGUAUAGAUUAGCCAGGUUCUUCCCUUUCCAGGAAUAAGAGGAAAAAGUGAAUACUUGAGGAAUAUAACAUAGGAUAGACAGGUUUUUGUUAGUGAUUAUUUGCAGCACUUCCCUUUAUACAGGAAUGGAACCUUUAUUUUUUUGGAGGAAAACUCAGGAGAUGGUGAGUAGUUGUGGAGCUUCCCUUUGAAUAGUGCUCCCUCGGAGAAUGUGAUUUAUGACAUACCGUGGGAGGAGGCAGAUUAUAGGGUCAUAUUUGGGAUGCAAAUUACGUGGGGCAGAGCUGACUCCACUUGGGUAUGUGCUGACAUGUUGCUCCUAAUAAUUACCUGGAUUUCUUUUGAAACUUGGCUCGAGGGCCGUGAAUUAAUUAGGGCAUCCAUCGCCCUGGCAGCUAGCAGGAUGCAGCCUAUGGGCUUUAGAGUGAGAUACAGCACCGUGACUUUGGGCCCAGAAGCAGAAGACGGUAACUUCUCGUACUGUAAUUGGAAAGGUAAAUCUAAUCCAGCAAUGCACACGACUGGUGCUUUAGUGACUUUGGGUAAUAAUGAAGGGAUGGUGAGUAUUUGUGGUACCUUAUACUAAGACAGCCAUUUUCGUGACCUCAGGCCUAUAACCAGGAGACAGUGAUUUUUAGUCUUGCAAGAUACACAACAGGCAAUUGGAUGACUUUGGGCCCAUAACCAGCAGACGAUCAGUUGUAGUCCUGCAAUAUGAAUGACAGGUACCUGAAUGACUUUCCACCAGGAAUUGACAGUGAGUUCUAAUCCUUCAAUUCUCACAAUGGCCGACUUAGUAACUUCGGAUCAAUAACCAAGAAACGGUGUCUUUUCUUCCUGCAAUAGGCAUGGUGAGUUCUGCUCCUGGAAUACUCAAGAGAGGCAGCUGUGUCACUUUGGGCCAAUCCCCAGGAGAUGCCCUAGGAAGGAAGCAAUGGCAAACCACUUCUCCAAAACCUCUCCAAGAAUAGAGACUGGACUUGUUCAGACAGUCUCUGAGAAUUGAACCCGACGGAACAGAAGAAAAAAAGAGCAAUGGAUGACAAAGACGGAAGGGACCCCCCCCCCCCCCCUCGGUGCAAUACGUCCUGGCUAAGACCACGAUGAGGCUGGACAGAGGCCCUCUCGGCCCCCACACAGACCAAUGUCCUGUCAGAUCCACCACCUUCAGCUUGGCACCUCGCUGGCAGUCUGCCAUCAACCUGGGAAAGGGAGGGGGAACCAAUGGGCAAUCAAGCUGUGUGUCUUCAUGAGGGGAAAUUGGGAGGCGGGAAUUGACAGUUGAGGAAGAACAGAGCGGUUUGGAAUCCAGUCUAUGCAGGCAUCUUCAAGGCCACCUCUCCUGAGAAUGGAAUUUCACCAACUUAAACAUCUCAGCGCUUCCCAAAAUAAUCUCAGCGGUGCUGGAUUGGCUGCCCUUGGAUGGACUAUGGGGGGAGGGCUGGGGAAACCAAGGAGUUAGUGCUGAAUUGAUGCGCUGGAACUUCAGAUUCCACCUGACUGUCCUGCAGUGAGCAUCUGUUAGUAAAAGUGCCUUUUCACUUCAACCAAAUGGAGUCGAGGGUUUUACUUCCCUGGGAGAUCAGACUGGGACAGGUCUGACAGUCCCUCGUUGCCUGAUCUGAAGUCCACGACUGAAGAGGGACCCAACCCAUUUCACCGGGCGAUUGCUGAAUGAGCCACAAGUCCUCUGCUGUGUCAACCAACAACCCAUGAAUCCAGACCGAACUAUUCUGGGCAUGCUGGCUGGGAAUUCUGGGAGUUGAAGUCCCCACAUCUCAAAGUCUCCACGUUGGAGAAACACAGAUGUAGAGCUCCCUGACUCCAGGUAGCUGCAGGCAGCUGACUUUCCCCAUCAGACUCGUCAAAAUAAAAUAAAAUUUGAAAAACGGAAUGGACCAUGAGCAUCUAGGAGACCGUCUGAACAGAGGACAGCCCAAUGAGGGCAUCUCUGUCACCAGUCCCAACGCCUGGCACCUCACCCAGCUUCGCGAUGACCUGACUGGCCCACAGAAGAAGUCUUAUCUGGAUUCGUCUCGAUUUCAUUCAUAAUUUAUUCCCAAUAAAUGUCUCAAGACAAAUCAUGAUA